ACGGGUGAGUAAUGUCUGGGGAUCUGCCCGAUAGAGGGGGAUAACCACUGGAAACGGUGGCUAAUACCGCAUAACGUCGCAAGACCAAAGAGGGGGACCUUCGGGCCUCUCACUAUCGGAUGAACCCAGAUGGGAUUAGCUAGUAGGCGGGGUAAGGGCCCACCUAGGCGACGAUCCCUAGCUGGUCUGAGAGGAUGACCAGCCACACUGGAACUGAGACACGGUCCAGACUCCUACGGGAGGCAGCAGUGGGGAAUAUUGCACAAUGGGCGCAAGCCUGAUGCAGCCAUGCCGCGUGUAGGAAGAAGGCCUUCGGGUUGUAAAGUACUUUCAGCGGGGAGGAAGGCGGUGAGGUUAAUAACCUUGCCGAUUGACGUUACCCGCAGAAGAAGCACCGGCUAACUCCGUGCCAGCAGCCGCGGUAAUACGGAGGGUGCAAGCGUUAAUCGGAAUUACUGGGCGUAAAGCGCACGCAGGCGGUCUGUUAAGUCAGAUGUGAAAUCCCCGGGCUUAACCUGGGAACUGCAUUUGAAACUGGCAGGCUUGAGUCUCGUAGAGGGGGGUAGAAUUCCAGGUGUAGC
rnacentral:rRNA from 1 species